rnacentral:rRNA from 1 species
AUGCCUAUACAUGCAGUCGAGCGGAGUUGAUAGAGAAGCUUGCUUCCCUGAUACGUUAGCGGCGGACGGGUGAGUAACACGUAGGCAACCUGCCCUCAAGUUUGGGACAACUACCGGAAACGGUAGCUAAUACCGAAUAAUUGUUUUCUUCGCCUGAAGGAAACUGGAAAGACGGAGCAAUCUGUCACUUGGGGAUGGGCCUGCGGCGCAUUAGCUAGUUGGUGAGGUAACGGCUCACCAAGGCGACGAUGCGUAGCCGACCUGAGAGGGUGAUCGGCCACACUGGGACUGAGACACGGCCCAGACUCCUACGGGAGGCAGCAGUAGGGAAUCUUCCGCAAUGGGCGAAAGCCUGACGGAGCAAUGCCGCGUGAGUGAUGAAGGUUUUCGGAUCGUAAAGCUCUGUUGCCAGGGAAGAACGCUUGGGAGAGUAACUGCUCUCAAGGUGACGGUACCUGAGAAGAAAGCCCCGGCUAACUACGUGCCAGCAGCCGCGGUAAUACGUAGGGGGCAAGCGUUGUCCGGAAUUAUUGGGCGUAAAGCGCGCGCAGGCGGU